rnacentral:rRNA from 1 species
GAGUACGUGAAACCGUUUAGGGGUAAACCUGAGAAACCCGAAAGGUCGAAGGGAGAAAUUCAUUCGCGUUUCGUCAUCGGCGAUUAGUCGUCGUGCGACGGAAACGUACAGUUAUCGUUUUCGCACCUUCGAUUAGUCGAACCGGAGACGAACGCGUGCACUUUUCUCCUGGUAGGACGUCGCGAUCCGUCGGGUGUCGGUCUACGGCUCGCGGUGGAGCCCGUUCGUCGUUCUUCGGAACGUGUACGAGCGGACCCGCGUGUUUCCCGGCCGACUCGCUCGACGGUAUACGAACGGUUCGGAGCCGCUUUCAAAGCGUUCGGCUCGUAGCAAGCGCGUCAGAUGACGUUGGCAAUCGGACUCUGUGCCGAUUCUAACCUCUGACGACUGUUGGCCGCGAAGUUCUCGAACAGACUCCGUUUCUCGCUCGGCGAGAGAAAACCGAUCUGCGACGCUAUAGCUUUGGGUACUUUCAGG